rnacentral:misc_RNA from 1 species
AAAUGACUCUAGUUUGUGUGUUCUACAACUGCUAAACAUGCAAAUUGUGCAUCUUCAGAACUUGCAUUGCUAAUUCUGCAUCUUGAUAAUAGCAUUGGUCCUUGUAUCAAUGUGAGAGUUUUGCAUUCAGGUUUUUAUGUGAUUAUCCUUAUCCCAAAAGAUACAAUUGUUUAGUUUGUUAUGUUCUAAUUCUAGUAUUUUUCUAAAGAUUAUGUUAGAGCAGAAUAGAG